UGCUUUAUGAUCUCAUGGAGAUUAUUGGGUAAGAGUCUGGAGAACAAAGACUGAACUCAGAGACCUUCUGAGCCUUGAAUCCUGCUGAUGGAUGUGGUGGAUGCAGAGAUGGUCCAGGGAGGGAGGCUGUGAAAAAAGCAAGGAAGAAAUGCAGGAAUUCUUCUGCUCUCUUACAUCAGCACCAGAGGAUGACUCGUAUGAGUGCCAGCAAAACACCCAGCACCAUCCAAGGCACAGGGGAGCUUAUCAGAUAAAAGGACUUGGUGGAGUGACAAAGAUUGAUUAACACUGAGAAUAACAAGCUGAGGCCUUACUGGGAUCCAAAUCCCGAUUUUUAAUCAAAGACUUGGAUAACAAGCAGGCUGCAGGUUUUUCAAUUUGGGCUGAAAUCCAUCUGUGUGCAAAAGACCUCAGAGAAGCUUUAUGUGUCAUUUCCAUCUCUGUUAAAAAAGCAUUUUGAGGACUCUUGUGGGACUAGCAAGACGAAUAGGCCAUGUUCUGACCUGCUGCACGGGGAAAAUCUGUUUAAGAUUCCCAGUUUAACAAUAUUCUCAAAGAAACGCGGCUGUUCUGACUACACAGAAAAAUAUACAGUUAACAUGCCUGGAGUGUGUUAGGCAGAAGAUGAGAAAUGGGAAGAAACUGAUGGACAGAAAGAAAGAAAAAUCAACACCAGUGCAAUGAACUGGUGUAGAAGAUAGGUCAGCAGAAAGAAAAAUGAAAUACAGAGAGCCAGAGCAGAUCCAAUCUAACCACAUGGCUGGACUGAGGCUAGAAGAACAUAUGUGCCCCGGAUGGUGUAUACUCAGAGUGACUGAAGUAUAAAGGCAUUAAAUCACUUGUGCAAAGCCAGAUCAACGUCAGCACUCAGGAAGAUUGUCUCAACCUCAGCAAUUUAGGAAUCAUUCAGGUCAGUGAUGAUAAAACUUGGCCACUCCUAAUGUUCCUGUUGUCUUUGCAUCCAUUCUCCUAUAAUAAGAUGUCUGUUACAUUCUGCUUUCCCCCCCUCACCUUUUGUCAAUUGGACACCCCUUAGCCAGGACUGUCACCAUCCCUCCACUGCAUCUUUCACCAGCCAUGUUACUGAGUAGGGGGAGAUCAAAAGCUAUCAUGGAAACAUGAGAUUUUCUGUGCUGGAGGAGCCUAGACAGAGUCCAUUAAGAUCAUAUCUAACCUUUGCCGGUGUUGAACACCAAUAUCAGCAUGCACAAAGCAUAAGAAAUGUUGCUUCGUAUCAUAAAGAUGAAGUAAGUGAACCAUAGAGGAACCUUUCCCUUAACUCCAUUAGUCUGUGAUUGCCUUUGCAGGCUCUAAGAGUAAUGUUUAUUAUA